rnacentral:rRNA from 1 species
GAUCAUGGCUCAGAACGAACGCUGGCGGCAUGCCUAACACAUGCAAGUCGAACGAGACCUUCGGGUCUAGUGGCGCACGGGUGCGUAACGCGUGGGAAUCUGCCCUGGGGUGCGGAAUAACUCGGAGAAAUCCGUGCUAAUACCGCAUAAUGUCUUCGGACCAAAGAUUUAUCGCCCUGGGAUGAGCCCGCGUAGGAUUAGCUAGUUGGUGGGGUAAAGGCCUACCAAGGCGACGAUCCUUAGCUGGUCUGAGAGGAUGAUCAGCCACACUGGGACUGAGACACGGCCCAGACUCCUACGGGAGGCAGCAGUGGGGAAUAUUGGACAAUGGGCGAAAGCCUGAUCCAGCAAUGCCGCGUGAGUGAUGAAGGCCCUAGGGUUGUAAAGCUCUUUUACCCGGGAUGAUAAUGACAGUACCGGGAGAAUAAGCUCCGGCUAACUCCGUG